UGCGGCCCCGAGGCACCCUCUGGCAGACUCCGAGGCGGCGAAAGCUUGGGCGGACUGUGCACGGUGCGCAGGCGCGGAGCUAGACCUCGCUGCAGCCCCCGUCGCCACCGGGAGUCGCACCCACCGAGUCAGCCCUCUGGCGGGUCAGUACGCUCGCCCUCCUCCGCCCUCCCAGGUUUCCACAGUGCCCUACGCACCCAGAUGGCGGAGCUGCGGCCUAGCGGCGCCCCCGGCCCCACCGCGCCCCCGGCCCCUGGCCCUACUGCCCCUCCGGCCUUCGCCUCGCUCUUCCCCCCGGGACUGCACGCCAUCUACGGAGAGUGCCGCCGCCUUUACCCUGACCAGCCGAACCCCCUCCAGGUUACCGCUAUCGUCAAGUACUGGUUGGGUGGCCCAGACCCCUUGGACUAUGUUAGCAUGUACAGGAACAUGGGGAGCCCUUCUGCCAACAUUCCUGAGCAUUGGCACUACAUCAGCUUUGGCCUGAGUGAUCUCUAUGGUGACAACAGAGUCCAUGAAUUUACUGGAACAGAUGGACCUAGUGGUUUUGGCUUUGAGUUAACAUUUCGCCUAAAGAGAGAAACUGGGGAGUCUGCCCCACCAACAUGGCCAGCAGAGCUAAUGCAGGGCUUGGCCCGAUACGUGUUCCAGUCAGCUGCUUUCGAGGUUCCUGGUGUGGCUUUGCCUCAGAACUCCAUUGCAAGAUUCUUACCUGUGGCUAGAGCAUGGUGGGGCAUGGCAUGCAGGGAACUGCGGGCUCCUGUUGAGAUGCUCACUAGCUCUGUGUGGAUCCCUGGAGGAAAAAAGAACACCUUCUGCAGUGGGGACCACGUAUCUUGGCAUAGCCCUUUGGAUAACAGUGAGUCGAGAAUUCAGCACAUGCUGCUGACAGAGGACCCACAGAUGCAGCCUGUGCAGACACCCUUUGGGGUAGUUACCUUCCUCCAGAUUGUUGGCGUCUGCACUGAGGAGCUACAUUCAGCCCAGCAGUGGAAUGGGCAGGGCAUCUUGGAACUGCUGCGGACGGUGCCCGUCGCUGGUGGUCCCUGGCUGAUAACUGACAUGCGGAGAGGAGAGACCAUAUUUGAGAUCGAUCCACAUCUGCAACAGGAGAGAGUUGACAAAGGCAUUGAAACAGAUGGCUCCAACCUGAGUGGUGUGAGUGCCAAGUGUGCCUGGGAUGAUUUGAGCCGGCCCCCUGAGGACGAUGAAGAUAGCCGGAGCAUCUGCAUCGGCACACAGCCUCGACGGCUCUCUGGGAAAGACACAGAGCAGAUCCGAGAGACCCUGAGGAGAGGACUCGAGAUCAACAGCAAACCUGUCCUUCCACCAAUCAACCCCCAGAUCAACCCUCAGCGGCCGAAUGGCCUCACCCAUGACCGGACCCCGAGCCGCAAAGACAGCCUGGAAAGUGACAGCUCCACGACCAUUAUUCCCCACGAGCUCAUCCGCACACGACAACUUGAGAGUGUACAUCUGAAAUUCAACCAGGAGUCAGGAGCUCUCAUUCCUCUCUGCCUAAGGGGCAGGCUCCUGCAUGGACGGCACUUUACAUAUAAAAGUAUCACGGGUGAUAUGGCCAUCACAUUUGUCUCCACUGGAGUAGAAGGUGCCUUUGCCACUGAGGAGCAUCCUUACGCAGCUCAUGGACCCUGGUUACAAAGCCAGGCAGCUCCAUGGGGACCCAGAGAGCUUCAGGUGCUCCAAGCCCCAGACCUUCACAGACUCUUCCCACAGCUACAUCACAACGAUUUUGUUGACUGAAGAGUUUGUAGAGAAAAUGUUGGAGGACUUAGAAGAUUUGACUUCUCCAGAGGAAUUCAAACUUCCCAAAGAGUACAGCUGGCCUGAAAAGAAGCUCAAAGUCUCCAUCCUCCCGGAUGUGGUGUUCGACAGUCCUCUGCACUAGCCUGGGCUAGGCCCUGCAGGGGCCAAGGGGAGCCCGGCUGCUCUCUAGUGACUUCCGGUAUAACAACUGCAUAAGGGAGAUUCCCACAAAUUAAAAGGACAAGUGUAAGGACAACUGUGCGACUCCCAUGUAUGGCCACAGGCCCCUGCCUCACCUCCAGCUCAGGGGCCUCGCCCUCCAGCCAGCCAAGUCCACGUAACCAGGCCCUCAUCCCACUGGGCCAGUGAGUGGGCACAUGUAAACCCUCUCCACCCCUGGCACCACAGGUUCUGGUUUGAGAUUUGACUCUGGACCCUUGAUGUGCCCUUGGGUGGAGAUAGGCUUUGUCCUCACCUACCCCUGCCACUCAGCCCAGUGUGGAGUACACAUGGGUGGCUGCCCAGUUCAAUUCCAUACGUCUUUGCUCCUGGAGCUGCUCCAGUCAUGGAAUGAUUCCUACAUUUGAUUUUCUUCUUUAUUUUGUAGAAACCGAAUGGUAUUUUAUUGUGUGGCAAAGAUGUCCAGAAGCCGUCUGUAUAAUGUUUUUUAAGCAGAACUUUAUUCCCAGAUGAACUUUCCCAUUCUCUCAAACAGGGGCCUCUGUCUGCCCCUGUACUUCUCCCGGAGAAGGAUUCCAGGUCCUGGAGCAGUCCCUGCUUCCCAGAGGAACUUUUCUUCCCAUCUGGGCCGGAGGAACCUGGAUACUCUCCAUACAGCCUUGAGCCCAGUGUAGCUGGUGCCAGGAAGCAGUACUGCUGCUGUUUUCCAAGUGAACUGGGCUCCCACAAGGUUCAGGAGUCAUUAGGAACUCAAAGAUACUGGUGGCCCCAGUCUCAACUUCCAGGCCUUUCCCACUCAACCAGGCCUGCCAUCAAUUUGUUAUCCUGCCAUCCCAACCAUUGCACACCUCACAGACCAUCCCCACCUGCUACUCAGGGCCUAGGUCUUCAGCUCUUUGACCACCCCUGUCCCCUUUCCUCAUCCCCUAGGCUUGCCAGCACCCAGGCUACAGUACUCUGGCUUAUUAAAAAUUGAAAAGUCAACCUUUCACCAUUUCUUUCACUUUGAUUUUGUCUGUACUGCUCUCUGCCAGCUCCCCACCUCCACCCACCCCACCCCAGUCUUCCCUGCAUCCAUUAUUUUCUUGUUUUUCAUUCCCUGUUCCUUGUCCUGUCUCCUUUCUUACAUCCUGGCCUCCUUUUUUUUUGGGGGGGGGUGUUCCGGGGAUUGAACUCAGGGGCACUUCACCACUGAGCCACAUCCCCAGCCCUAUUUUGUAUUUUAUUUAGAGACAGGGUCUCACCGAGUUGCUAAGUGCCUCACUUUUGCUGAGGCUGGCUUUGAACAUGCAAUCCUCCUGCCUCAGCCUCCCAAGCUGCUGGAAUUACAGGCAUGUGCCACCACGCCCAGCACAUCAUGGACUCUGUGGUCCUUGGUCCCUCAACCCUAGUACUACAGAUCGCACAUUUUGCCUUCUAGAAGCCAACCUGUCUUUGACCCAAAGUUUUAGAGUUAACUCUUGAGUUAUCUCCCACUUCUUACCUGAAAUUAGAAAACCCCUUUCCUGUCUUCUUAGCCUCCAACUCCAGGGGGCUACUUCAAAAUCACCCUUCGACCUCUCCAAAGCAAGUCAUUCUGUUUGUCAAGGACCAUGAAGGGCUUUUCCCUGGCUCUGUUCACCUCCACCACCUACAUGGGCACCCACCAGGAAGCAUCAGGAGGCCCAUAGGGUACAUAAUCCCUCUGAUGAGAUAACCAGCCUCCGAGAGCUGCCUCCAAAGUCAUGAGGAUGCUGGCUAGAGUCUCCAAGGAACUUUGGACUUCCAAGGGUCCACCUAGGCCCAAACCCUCUGUACAACUCCAGGGUUAUCCUAUUAAUGUCAAGGCAGAUAGCCUGGAGCAUGUGGGAGAGACUGGCCUCAGGCCUUCAAGCCAAGAAGCAGCCUGCUGCCCUGAGAACUUUCCCUGAAGGAUGCUGGAUGAUCUUCAUCCACCAUGGCAGCCCCACCUUUGAAGAUCUUGUCUUCUGACAUUUCAUGGGCAGAGAGGUGCCAUCAAUUUGUUAUCCUGCCAUCCAAACCAGCAUCUCCCCAAGUUCUCCCUUCCUUGGAGCUGCCUAAGGGAUCCCUACCUCUAUCUGCCUGCUUUGUGGGAAAAGGUACAUUUUCUGAGCUUAUUUUGUCAUCAGUCCAUGAAACAUCUGGUCAACAACUUGCCCCAGACCUGCAGGACCUUUACAAACUGAAUGAUAGCAUCAUCUGCUUGGUGGCCCUGAGCUUGGGAAGUUGGGAAUGGUAGGAGGGAACAGGAAAGUACUGAGUGAUAAGCCCAGGAAGCCUGGGGCCCCUUUUCUGCCCCCACCACCUUGGGAGCCUCAUGAACAUCCAAGAUCCUGCUGGUGCUGAGCACCCAUUAUUUCUCUACAGAACCUUGGCUCCAGGAGAGUGAUAAGGCCUCAGCCAUCUCUCAUCUGGUCUUUCCCAUGGAUUCUGAGGUUUCUCAGGGAGGAGGCUCUCCAGUGAGCUCCUGGUUGGUGAGAGGGGAUCCUGACAGGAUCAAGCUAGACUGACCUUGUAUGAUGCCCAGCACAGCUUCCAGCACAUGGUGGGUACUCAGUAAAUGAACCCCUUCUUUCCCUCCUUGAAGCUAUAUGGAUCAAGGAGGCAGGGACUCUCUGUCUCCCUCUGUCUGCCCCUUCUUCAGGCUUGCCCAGUCCUACCCUAUCUUUCCAGGUCCCUGGUACUAAAGCUUCAGAGAAGAAGGGGCUCCCUACUUGCUGUACCUGCUGCUGUCUAAGGCAGACUCCUGUGGCUGUUAAGGUCCAAUAUGGCUGCAAGAGGAUGGCUGCCAUUCUGAGGGGGCAGGGAAACUCCUGCAAGGUCUCUGGCCUGGCAGGGAUGUUGGUGCCUCCUAUUCUUCCAUGGGCAAGGCUCUAGGGCAGGAACUAAGAAGCCUUGGGGUGAGUCUAAAAGGGCUAGAGAAUUCUUAAAACCAGACUCAAGGUCUUGGGAUGGUUUCUGAGAUUGAGUUGAAAAGGGAGAGAAAAACUGAAGGUUGGUGCCCCUAUGGGGCAGACCAGUGGAACUCCCUGGACUAUUUUUUUAUGUGAUCUUCCCUCUCUGCCUUCCAGGACCCGUAUGCCAUGUGAGGUGCCUGGGUCCCUGUACAAGUCAGGAGCCCUGUAGGAAGACCCCUCCUUUUGUACAAGUACCUGAAUGCUGCAAGAAGCAGACUUUUGUAAAAUUUUAUAUUAGUUUUUUUAAUGUCAGUGGCGACUCGGUUCCUGGAGCUGCAGCCAGCCUGGGGCUUUUGUAAGAAUUUUUGAGUGACUCACUUAGAUGACGUCGUUCCUUCUUGCCCCUCUUCCUCUGUGUAAUCUAAGUGCAUUAAACAUAUUUGCAGAAG